AACGAACGCUGGCGGAGUGCUUUAGACAUGCAAGUCGUACGAGAACGCCACCUUCGGGUGUCAGUAAAGUGGCGCACGGGUGAGUAACGCGUGGGUAAUCUGCCCUUUGGUCUGGGAUAACCCCGGGAAACCGGAGCUAAUACCGGAUAAGACCACGAUGACCUCGGUCGAUGUGGGAAAAGAUGGCCUCUUCUUGAAAGCUAUCACCAUUGGAUGAGCCCGCGUAGCAUUAGCUUGUUGGUGGGGUAACGGCCUACCAAGGCUACGAUGCUUAGCUGGUCUGAGAGGAUGAUCAGCCACACUGGAACUGAGACACGGUCCAG
rnacentral:rRNA from 1 species